UUUUAUUUGUACACAUUUAUGGGCUACAUGAGAAACUUUGUUACAUGUUUAUAAUGCAUAGUGAUCAAGUCAGGGCAUUUAGGGUUUCUCACUGUACCCCAGGGCAGCCCCAGGGCUCUCCUUGGGCUUCUGGCAGCCUGAGUGGUGUCUCAUCACAGGGAAUUUUACUGAGCAAAGGCAGCUUGGCGUAUACUGAGGGUGUACAGUCCAGGACCCACAGCAUUGAUCUCACCUGGGAACUUAUUAGAAAUCCAGAUUCUCAGGCCAACCCUAGGCCCACUGAAUUAGAAAGUCUGGGAGAAAGGCCUGGAAUUUGGGUUUUAACAAACGCUGCAGGUGAUUCUGAUGCACGCUGGAGAACCACUGGAUGGACAAAGGCUGCAGGACUUGAGGUCAGUCCAUUUGACCCCCAAUCUCUCACUAUUUUGUGACCUUGGGAAGGUUACUAAGCCCCGUGAACCUCAUCAUCUCCCUGUGAAUUGCUUUGUUACGAUGUCCAUGUCUGGAAUGCAGCUGGCCCUCCAUAAAUGUUAGCUCUCUUUCCUUCUCACUUGGGUUAAUGUUUGUUAUCAUCAGGAGCUGCCUUGGUGUAGCAGAAAGAGCAUUGGCCUAGAUUCCAGUGUUGGCUUAUGCUCUGGCUAUUUGGCAGGAUUUAAUAGAGCUUGUUAAUAAUUAUUGAACAGUGAUUAGGUGCCAGGGACUAUGCUAAGAGCUUUCCAUGCAUUAUCUCAUUUAAUCUGCCCAAAAACUACAAGAGAAAUGUUCAGGUAUUAUCUCUAUUUUAUUCCAGAAAAAAACAGACUUUACUUGGGUAAUUAACUUGUCUAAGGCUUAACAGCUAAAUUGGUAGAGUUGGGCUUGAAACUAGUGGUCUGGCUUUGGAGCCCACACUGUUUAACCACUAAGUGGUACUCAACAUUUCUGAUCUUUACUAUCCAUAUUCAAAAAAGAAUCCACCAUAAAAGGUGCUAAUAUUUAUUCAGCACCUUCCUACGUGCUAGGCAUUGGGUUAGACACAUUUCACUUACUCUCAGUGUCCAUCAUAAGGAAUUAUUAUGCCAGUAUCACACAUGCAGCUGCUGAAGUAGGAAAAUAAUAUCCCAAACUUGUGAAAAUGGACAAAGAUAGUAUAUCCUAAAUGAUAUGGCUCUAUACAAAUUAGCAGGUGAUUGUGAUCUGGAUAGUAAGAUGCUUUGUCCCUUAAGAUGCAGAAGAGUUCGUGUUAACUGGCAAAUGCCUCCAGCAAUGUUCUGGAUUUGCCAUUUCCAGCACUACCAGCUGUAGGUAGCCUGAAGGCUUGUGCCUAGACCACCAGGACUCCUGACCUUGGGCAAUGUCAGGGCCCCCUCCAGCCCCGCCCUAUGCUUCCCUCCCUGACUCUGCUCCCAUCACCCCCUGCCUGCUCCUUCCCUGCAGCCACUCCACCUGCUCCUUGGCCAUCGGGCCAUCUGGGCUUCACCAGCUCUUCUUGGCCUGUGACAUUCAAGGCUGUUCCACCCUAUUAUGCCUGUUACACAAGUCACAGCUCUAUUUUUAGAUUAACCCUCGUGGAUCAUAGUUACUUUUAAAAAUACCUACACCCUCACCUUUACAUGUGAAUACAGAUGAACUUGGCCUUCCUUUGGUCGUAUUGCCCUGUGUGACAUUAUAAAAGAACCCUGAAGUGGGGGUCAGCAGAUCUGAGGUCGAGUCGUGGCUUUUCUACUAAGCAACUGUGACCUUCAGCAAGUCAUUUAUUUUAUUGGUUCACAGUUCUUCCCACAAACCAGUGGAUAACAAGAAGAUGUUCCUUAAAUAAGGUCAUAUAUGUGCAAGUGCUUUCUGAAUGGAAAAGUGCUUUGCAGGCAUUAGUCACUACUUAUCCUGCUGUCUGAUCAUCACCUCCAAAGGCAAGCCUCCUUUUGCUGCAAUUCUUAACCCUGGCCUCACAUUAGAGUCACCUAAAGAGCUUUUAAAAACUGCCUAUGGGGCUGGGCACGGUGGCUCACGCCUGUAAUCCCAGCACUUCAGGAGACUGAGGCGGGCAGAUCAUGAGGUCAGGAGAUUGAGACUAUCCUGGCUAAUGUGGUAAAACCCUGUCUCUACUAAAAAUACAAAAAAAUUAGCCGGGCAUGGUGGCACGCACCUGUAAUCCCAGCUACUUGGGAGGCGGAGGCAGGAGAAUUGCUUGAACCUGGGAGGCGGAGGUUGCAGUGAGCCGAGAUCACGCCGCUGCAUUCCAGCCUGGGCAACAGAAUGAGACUCCAUCUCAAAAAAAUAAAAAUAAAAAUAAACAAA
rnacentral:lncRNA from 1 species